rnacentral:rRNA from 1 species
GACGAACGCUGGCGGCGUGCUUAACACAUGCAAGUCGAACGGAAAGGCCCUGCUUUUGUGGGGUGCUCGAGUGGCGAACGGGUGAGUAACACGUGAGUAACCUGCCCUUGACUUUGGGAUAACUUCAGGAAACUGGGGCUAAUACCGGAUAGGAGCUCCUGCUGCAUGGUGGGGGUUGGAAAGUUUCGGCGGUUGGGGAUGGACUCGCGGCUUAUCAGCUUGUUGGUGGGGUUGUGGCUUACCAAGGCUUUGACGGGUAGCCGGCCUGAGAGGGUGGCCGGCCACGUUGGGACUGAGAUGCGGCCCAGCCUCCUACGCGACGCAGCAGUGGAGUAUAUUGCCCAAUGGGCGGAAGCCUAGUGCGACACCGCCGCGCGCGGGAUGUCGGCCUUCGGGUUGUAAACCGCUUUCGCCUGUCCCGAAGCGUGAGUGACGGUACUGGGUAAAGAAGCCCCGGCUAACUACGUG